UCCCACAAAACCUCAAGAUGAUCCUCUGGCGCGGAGCCGCGUGCCCUUAAAUGCGGCCGUUUGUAUUCACACAGCUUGUAAAUAGGAAGACCAGUCCUGCAGGGUUGUGACCCUGGCUGCGAACAUGCGUGACUGUGGGAUCGAGAGUGAAUGAGACACUGCGAGGAUGGAAGAGUUGUUCUUGUAUUAAGGAGUAUUCAUAGACUCACCAUGUAUUGAAUGCUGGCUGUGUAGCAGGCACAAAUCCUAGGUGCUUGGGAUAUAAGCGUGAACAAGAGACAAACCUCCUGAUAUCAUGGUACUUACGCUGUUGUGGGCCAGAUAAUAAACAAGGAAAGAAUGAGGAAGAAAAUAAUUGAAGAAAAAUGGCUGAGGAUUUUCCAUAAUUGGCGACAGUAAACCAUAGAUCCAAGAAGCUCAGAGAACAACCAGCAGGAUGUAUGCCAAAACAAACAUAUGUCUAGGCAUAUCUUAUUUAAACAGUUGAAAACCAAAGAUAAAGAAGAAAUCUUGAAGCACUUAAUAUCCAAGAUAUGGAAAAAGCCUAAAUAUCCAUAAACAGAUUAAUGGAUAAAGAAAAUGUGGUACACAAGAAGAAUGAAAUUUGAAGAAAUUAUGCUAACGUGAAACAGCCACAGAUAAGUACUGCAUGGUUUCACUUAUUUGAGGUAUGUUAAAUAGUCAAAUUCAUAGAAUCACAGUUGCCAGCCAAACUAUAGAACUAGCCUAGGGGCUGACGACAGGGAAAAUGUGGAGUUAUUAGUGGGC